rnacentral:lncRNA from 1 species
UUUAAGUGCAUCCUGUUUUAAUAUUUUAUCCCUAAUGUUUAUGGCAAAUCAUUGAGACAGAAAUUAUUCCCACAUUUAAAAUUAGGAAAUAGUGGAUUAGAAAGUCUGAAUAUUGUCUCAAGGUUACUCAGUGGUAGAUGGCAUUUGAACUCAGGACUUUCAUUUGCCAAAGUUCUUCCCACAGAGUCAGACUGUGAAGCAGAUUAAUUAAAUAGCUCAUAUUAUAUACCCCUUCCUACUACUUCCAACCCUGCACAGUUUCCCACUUUACUUUGAGGUAAAGAUCAAAUUAUUCAUCAUAUAGUUGAGGGCAUUGUCCCCUGUGGUCUCAGUUUCAUUCCCAAGCCUUCUUUCUCUUCUUAAUAUUCACAUUCUGUCCUCUACCUCAGGUUUCCAUAGCUGGUUGCCCUGACAGUCGUUUUGAACAUUCUUGGUUGUGAAUUUGUACCAUAAUUUUACAAGAUGUUCUCAGUGGGGGAAAUUGAUUAAAAGGAACACAAGAACUCUCCGCAUUAGUGCUUACGGCUUGAUGAGAAUCUCCAUUCAACUCAAGAUAAAAAGUUUAAUAAAAAUCAAAUCUCCCAUUGAGUCUAAUGGACUUCUACUGUCCUUCAAAAUACUAAGGGUGUAGGUAUGUAUCUAAUUAUAGUUCCCAAAACUCAUUCUUUUCUUUCUUGUUUUGAUUAUCCUUUCUUUUCAACUCAGGAACUCGGAAAGCUUCCCAUCUCUUCUGUACCUUAGAGUUUCAAAGAAUUGUUGUCACCUUCUCCCUUCCUCAUACAUGUGUUCAUCAGAUAAAAUUGUCCCAAACCCCUGCUGAGAGAUGAUCUGUGUGAGAUCUUCGUGAGGAAGAACACAGAAAACCUCAGGGUCUUAUCUGCUGGGGGCCAUCUGUUUUACGCCACCAGGCUGGUCACCAACAGUCCAAUAAAGGAGACUCUUCAGCUGGGGGAAGUGGUUGAGAAGGAAAGGGAAUCAAAAUAGGCACAGUCCCUGGAGCUGCAGACCUCACUCUCCACUGCCUUCUCUGUUUCAGGUAGGUCAGGUGGGGAUGCUGUGGAGGUAGCCCUGGUGUGUCACAUUGCUGUGAGGACUGCUGCAGACUUGAUAAGAUGUCUCUCUUCUCAUCAUGGAUCAGAGUUAUUAUCAUUAUUGGCUUGGCAUUUCCUCUUUAUUUUGGUGAGUAAAAUUUUCAGACCUGGAUGAAGCAACUAACAUAUUUUAGGAAAUGUAGGAAACAACUGCUAUUAUCUAGGAAUGAAGGAGAUUGCUGUUGGGUGUGUAAUACUUAAACGGGCAAAAUGAAAUGUUACAAAUACCUAUUUAAAAAUUACAUCAGUAGAUUGCUUUUUCUCAUUUCCCACCUUAGAAAGGUAGAGACAGAGGGGGUUAGAAUGAGCAGUAAA